rnacentral:rRNA from 1 species
GGCGGCAGCUUACACAUGCAGUCGAGCGGUAACAGGGGGUGCUUGCACCCCGCUGACGAGCGGCGGACGGGUGAGUAAUGCAUAGGAAUCUGCCCAGUAGUGGGGGAUAGCCCGGGGAAACCCGGAUUAAUACCGCAUACGCCCUUUGGGGGAAAGCAGGGGAUCUUCGGACCUUGCGCUAUUGGAUGAGCCUAUGUCGGAUUAGCUAGUUGGUGGGGUAAAGGCCUACCAAGGCGACGAUCCGUAGCUGGUCUGAGAGGAUGAUCAGCCACAUCGGGACUGAGACACGGCCCGAACUCCUACGGGAGGCAGCAGUGGGGAAUAUUGGACAAUGGGGGCAACCCUGAUCCAGCCAUGCCGCGUGUGUGAAGAAGGCUUUCGGGUUGUAAAGCACUUUCAGUGAGGAGGAAAACCUUCUGGUUAAUACCCAUGAGGCUUGACGUUACUCACAGAAGAAGCACCGGCUAACUCCGUGCCAGCAGCCGCGGUAAUACGGAGGGUGCAAGCGUUAAUCGGAAUUACUGGGCGUAAAGCGCGCGUAGGUGGUUUGAUAAGCGAGAUGUGAAAGCCCCGGGCUUAACCUGGGAACGGCAUUU